rnacentral:rRNA from 1 species
GACGAACGCUGGCGGCGUGCUUAACACAUGCAAGUCGAGCGGAGCGGCGAACGGGUGAGUAACGCGUGAGUAACUGCCCCCCUCUCUGGGAUAACAGUUGGAAACGGCUGCUAAUACCGGAUAGUGGGGGAUGACUCGCGUCCUAUCAGCUUGUUGGUGGGGUAGUGGCCUACCAAGGCGACGACGGGUAGCCGGCCUGAGAGGGCGACCGGCCACAGUGGGAUUGGAUACGGCGCAAACUCCUGCUGGGGGCAGAAGUGGAGAAUAGGGCACAAGGGAGGAAACCCUGAGGCAGCAACGCCGCGUGCGGGAAGACGGCCUUCGGGUUGUAAACCGCUUUCAGCCAUGACGCGGUAGUGGCAGAAGAAGCACCGGCUAACUACGUGCCAGCAGCCGCGGUAAUAC